rnacentral:tRNA from 1 species
UAGGUAGAAGCUAUUUUAGCGUUUGAUUGUUAAUCAAAAGAUAGCCGUAAGGUUUGCCUAG